CCUACGGGCGGCUGCAGUGGGGAAUAUUGGACAAUGGGCGAAAGCCUGAUCCAGCCAUGCCGCGUGUGUGAAGAAGGCCUUCGGGUUGUAAAGCACUUUCAGUGGGGAAGAAAGCCUUGGGGCUAAUACCCUCGAGGAAGGACAUCACCCACAGAAGAAGCACCGGCUAACUCCGUGCCAGCAGCCGCGGUAAUACGGAGGGUGCGAGCGUUAAUCGGAAUUACUGGGCGUAAAGCGCGCGUAGGCGGUCUGAUAAGCCGGUUGUGAAAGCCCCGGGCUCAACCUGGGAACGGCAUCCGGAACUGUCAGGCUAGAGUGCAGGAGAGGAAGGUAGAAUUCCCGGUGUAGCGGUGAAAUGCGUAGAGAUCGGGAGGAAUACCAGUGGCGAAGGCGGCCUUCUGGACUGACACUGACGCUGAGGUGUGAAAGCGUGGGUAGCAAACAGGAUUAGAUACCCUGUAGUC
rnacentral:rRNA from 1 species